CCUACGGGUGGCAGCAGUAGGGAAUAUUGCUCAAUGGGGGAAACCCUGAAGCAGCAACGCCGCGUGGAGGAUGAAGGUUUUAGGAUUGUAAACCCCUUUUGUUAGAGAAGAUUAUGACGGUAUCUAACGAAUAAGCACUGGCUAACUCCGUGCCAGCAGCCGCGGUAAUACGGAGGGGGCAAGCGUUACUCGGAAUCACUGGGCGUAAAGAGUGCGUAGGCGGGUUAAUAAGUCAGAUGUGAAAUCCUGUGGCUUAACUACAGAACUGCAUUUGAAACUGUUACUCUGGAGUGUGGGAGAGGUAGGUGGAAUGCUUGGUGUAGGGGUGAAAUGCGUAGAGAUCAGGAGGAAUA
rnacentral:rRNA from 1 species